CACGUACUAUCAGAGUUUGAGUCCUGGCGUCCAGGACUGAACGCUAGCGGCAGGCUUAACACAUGCAAGUCGAGGGGCAGCAUAAACAUUGCUUGCAAUGUUUGAUGGCGACCGGCGCACGGGUGCGUAACGCGUAUGCAACCUACCCAUAACAGGGGGAUAACACUGAGAAAUUGGUACUAAUACCCCGUAAUAUCAGGAAAGGCAUCUUUUUUGGUUGAAAGUUCCGGCGGUUAUGGAUGGGCAUGCGUUGUAUUAGCUAGUUGGUGAGGUAACGGCUCACCAAGGCGACGAUACAUAGGGGGACUGAGAGGUUAACCCCCCACAUUGGUACUGAGACACGGACCAA
rnacentral:rRNA from 1 species